rnacentral:rRNA from 1 species
UUGUGGUUAAAAAGCUCGUAGUUGGAUCUCAACAGUCUUGAAGCGGUCAACUUUGUAGUUGUACUGCCUUGUAGACUGUGCUUUUGCUGGAGGUUUAGGGGUGCUCUUAAUCGAGUGUCUCUGGAUGCCAGCAGGUUUACUUUGAAAAAAUUAGAGUGCUCAAAGCAGGCUAAAAUGCUUGAAUAUUCGUGCAUGGAAUAAUAGAAUAGGACGUCGAUACUAUUUUGUUGGUUUUCGGGACUUGACAUAAUGAUUAAUAGGGACAGUCGGGGGCAUUUGUAUUCAAACGACAGAGGUGAAAUUCUUGGACCGUUUGAGGACAAACUACUGCGAAAGCAUUUGCCAAGAAUGUCUUCAUUAAUCAAGAACGAAAGUUAGAGGUUCGAAGGCGAUUAGAUACCGCCCUAGUUCUAACCAUAAACGAUGCCAGCUAACGAUCUGCCGCUGUUUUUACUGUAGACUCGGCAGGGAGCUUCCGGGAAACCAAAGCAUUUUGGGUUCCAGGGGAAGUAUGGUUGCAAAGCUGAAACUUAAAAGGAAUUGACGGAAAGGGCACCACCCAGGAGUGGAG